AAGGACAAAGAAGAGUGGUCCCAAUAUUGAGCCUGGCUCAAUAUUGGGACCACUCUUCUUUUCUUCUUUAUCCUUUAUA
rnacentral:miRNA from 1 species